rnacentral:rRNA from 1 species
UACGGAGGAUGCGAGCGUUAUCCGGAUUCAUUGGGUUUAAAGGGUGCGUAGGCGGAAUAGUAAGUCAGGGGUGAAAGUUUGCGGCUCAACCGUAAAAUUGCCUUUGAUACUGUUAUUCUUGAGUACAUUUGAGGUAGGCGGAAUGUGUUGUGUAGCGGUGAAAUGCUUAGAUAUAACACAGAACACCGAUUGCGAAGGCAGCUUACUAAACUGUAACUGACGCUGAUGCACGAAAGCGUGGGGAUCGAACAGG